GAUGAACGCUGGCGGCGUGCCUAAUACAUGCAAGUCGAGCGGACGGACGAGAAGCUUGCUUCUCUGAUGUUAGCGGCGGACGGGUGAGUAACACGUGGAUAACCUACCUAUAAGACUGGGAUAACUUCGGGAAACCGGAGCUAAUACCGGAUAAUAUUUUGAACCGCAUGGUUCAAAAGUGAAAGACGGUCUUGCUGUCACUUAUAGAUGGAUCCGCGCUGCAUUAGCUAGUUGGUAAGGUAACGGCUUACCAAGGCAACGAUGCAUAGCCGACCUGAGAGGGUGAUCGGCCACACUGGAACUGAGGCACGGUCCAGACUCCUACGGGAGGCAGCAGUAGGGAAUCUUCCGCAAUGGGCGAAAGCCUGACGGAGCAACGCCGCGUGAGUGAUGAAGGUCUUCGGAUCGUAAAACUCUGUUAUUAGGGAAGAACAUAUGUGUAAGUAACUGUGCACAUCUUGACGGUACCUAAUCAGAAAGCCACGGCUAACUACGUG
rnacentral:rRNA from 1 species